rnacentral:lncRNA from 1 species
CGGUGGACCAGUACGGCAACCCCGUCCCGAGGGAGCCAGCGUCUGGUUUGGGCGGCACCGCUCCCGCCUACAGCAGCACCGGCGACAGUAGUGUCGCGCCUGUCGAGUACGGUGCCCGCGCGGAGUACGCCAGCGGUGGCGUCGCAGCAGUCGCACCAGGCGAGACGGCGCUCGCGUACGAGGGGAUGGUCGGUGGCGGACACCUCCAGCCGACCAAGGAGGAGCACACGUUUGGUCCGGGCGCGCAGCUCCAGCC